GCCCGGGUAGCUAUUAAUUAUGACAUCUCGUGGUUGCACUCGGGGAGCUGACCUAGGCCUUGCUCCUCAACAUCCAGCAGCUGCCACUCUUCACUACGGAGGCUUCGCGUGGCAGCUUCCAGGAGGGCAAUUACGCAGCCCAGAUGAGAUGAGGCGGCUGAAUGUUUGGGACUUGAGUGCUCAGGCUGCCAUUAGCACUGUAAGCUAUUACAUUCCCUCUUCUUUCUUUUUUUUUUUUUUCUUCUCUCCUCCUCCCGUCUUCUCCCUGACUCGCUGCUGUAUAUUGAUGAAGUGGUAAUGGGACCUCUAGUUAGAUAUUCCCCCUGUAAAAACAUUGUCUUGUUUCUGGUCUCCCUCAGGGGUCAAUGUAUUCUCCCGGAGUUGCCGGGAAUCAUUUCAGCUCUAUUAAUGAUGCAAUUCCAAUGCAAUUCAGAUCUACUGAAGACGAGGCACAGUGGACUUUUUUUUUUUUUUUUUUUUUUUUUUUUUUUGCAGGGGAGUUGAUAGAUGACGGCGCCCGUUAUCCUGCAGCUUGACAACAAAGUGGAGCCUCCUGCGCCGGUCGGCCGUCGCCCGUUUCCCCCCCCCCCCGCGCCGCUCGGUUCGAUCCUCAAAAACGAGGACGGAGCAGAAGUCUCCGUUCUCCAACGCUUCACCUCACCGGCGGGUUCCUCUUGAGGAGAACAUGACCGUGCCUAAUGAUGGUCACAUUAAUUAUGGGCUUAUCAACCUCAGCAAAAAUUCAAUAGGGCUAUUUAUAGAGGUCUGAAGCAGCAGAGGGGGCGAGGAGCGGCCUGUGGCAGCCUCCUCCUUCUCUUCGGGAGCCAGGGGUGGAGGCUGGUGUCUGUGUUUCUCUUUACAGUGCAGUUAAAACAACUAGCAAACAUCUGUCCAUCAGGGCCUGUCAUGGCAAGCGCUUUUAUAUAAAGCGCUGGUGGAGCAGAGGGCCCUCACCGCCGGCGCUGACAUUGAUGAGGUCUGGCAGCUUCCAUUAAAUCACUCUUUCCUGUAAAGUGCCAGGCAUCAAAGCAACCAGCCGAGGAUUUUUCACUCAAUCAGGCACAGAAGUUUCUCUUCAUGUUACCAGCUGGAAAUAUCAGCGACGAGCGUCUCCGCUUACUAAGCUCGCCGGUGUAAAGGCAGUUUGUGUGCAGAUUCUGUGGCCGGCUGACUGCACAGUUUGUGACACGGAGCCUCUUGCCUGUUUAUAGUCAGCUCUGCGAGUUGUACACAAACCGCCAAGACAAGAGUUUGCAAUGGUGACGAAGAGAUGCAGAUGGAAAGACACA